AGACCCGAAACCCGGUGAUCUAGCCAUGGGCAGGUUGAAGGUUGGGUAACACUAACUGGAGGACCGAACCGACUAAUGUUGAAAAAUUAGCGGAUGACCUGUGGCUGGGGGUGAAAGGCCAAUCAAACCGGGAGAUAGCUGGUUCUCCCCGAAAGCUAUUUAGGUAGCGCCUCGUGAAUUCAUCUCCGGGGGUAGAGCACUGUUUCGGCUAGGGGGCCAUCCCGGCUUACCAACCCGAUGCAAACUGCGAAUACCGGAGAAUGUUAUCACGGGAGACACACGGCGGGUGCUAACGUCCGUCGUGAAGAGGGAAACAACCCAGACCGCCAGCUAAGGUCCCAAAGUCAUGGUUAAGUGGGAAACGAUGUGGGAAGGCCCAGACAGCCAGGAUGUUGGCUUAGAAGCAGCCAUCAUUUAAAGAAAGCGUAAUAGCUCACUGGUCGAGUCGGCCUGCGCGGAAGAUGUAACGGGGCUAAACCAUGCACCGAAGCUGCGGCAGCGAACGUAUCACUUAAAGCGAUUCAGCGGGUUACGAUUGACGGAGCGAAGCGACGUCAAAGCGUAUACAAAGUCGAGUCGGUUUAAGGAUACGUUCGUUGGGUAGGGGAGCGUUCUGUAAGCCUGUGAAGGUGGCCUGUGAGGGUUGCUGGAGGUAUCAGAAGUGCGAAUGCUGACAUAAGUAACGAUAAAGCGGGUGAAAAGCCCGCUCGCCGGAAGACCAAGGGUUCCUGUCCAACGUUAAUCGGGGCAGGGUGAGUCGACCCCUAAGGCGAGGCCGAAAGGCGUAGUCGAUGGGAAACGGGUUAAUAUUCCCGUACUUGGUGUUACUGCGAAGGGGGGACGGAGAAGGCUAUGUUGGCCGGGCGACGGUUGUCCCGGUUUAAGCGUGUAGGUGUGUGUUCCAGGUAAAUCCGGUUCACUUUAACACUGAGGCGUGAUGACGAGGCACUACGGUGCUGAAGCAACAAAUGCCCUGCUUCCAGGAAAAGCCUCUAAGCAUCAGGUAA
rnacentral:rRNA from 1 species